AUUUACGUGUAUGUAUUUUUUUUUACCACGUUACAAAAGGUUGGGAAUUCAUCCCACUGUAAUGCCUCAGGUUCGAGAUAGGCUAUAAAAAGACUAGCAAUGGGAAUCCAAGCUCAGAGUCUGCUUGGGAUCCGGUUCGCAAAGUGUAACCCCCCCAAAAAUAUUUUCAAGACGCCUGCCCAGCCGUCAACCUAAUUGAUUUUGGUGAGACGACACUGGUUGACCAUCCUGCGAUUGUUCCUCUGCUGCAGUAUCCCUUCAGCCAGACAGUUUCACAGUGUCCAAAGCCGAUUCUCCGCGCUUGUUAAUUGAAUCGGAUUUCUUAUAGUUUAAAAUCCACACAGACCCAUGUACGGCCCAAACUGUAUAAGGGGUUUAUCUGAAUCUGUAAAGCCAUGGCAGAGAUAUAAAGAGAGCGCAAGAGACUAUACCCGCGUGUUGAACAUUUUUAAAUCUCAAAUAAACAUAUUUACCUGCGGCAUCUGCUGGUGCGCACAGCCUGAGUAGCCAAUGUGAUUUGUUUUAACAGUUCAACUUUGGAAUAUUUGCUUCAUGAGGGCACAUCACCUGCUCAACUAUCAGGUCCCGCCAGUGUGCCACGACGUGCGACACCCCGGCACAGACCGGGAGCCCCGCGGGCCGUGGCAGUAGGGCAUCCCACCCACCGGGGGGGCCGGUCACUGGCAUGAAGAGUGGACGCGGUGCAGGUGUCCCCACGGCCUCGCUCUUAAACCCAACUGUCCAAGCUACCGUCAGAAGUGUUGAUCCCAAUUUAAUGGUGUGCAAACAAAAAUAAUAAGAUUAGGUCACACCGACCGCUUGUAGACAUCAACCUGAAACCCAGCAAUAUUCAGGUUAUGUUUCACAUCGUUUGUAUUGAAAACCAUUAAAACAAAUAGCCUAACAAAUGCAUCUACGGUAUAUGCUACAUUUCUCUUCUGCACUGCGUAGUCCAUUGGUAAAUCCACAGGUCAGUUCUAUAGCGACCAAUGAGGAUAUUUAGAAACGGAUAAUAAUCUUGUAAUACCACCUUUUUUAGAGACAAGAAAAGGAUACAAUCUGCUAUCUGAUAGGAUACACCCUGCUUUUGUCAUUUCCAGUUGAUGACCUACAUAUAUUGGAUUUAAUAAAAAUACUUUACUCUGUU